rnacentral:rRNA from 1 species
GAUGAACGCUGGCGGCGUGCCUAAUACAUGCAAGUCGAGCGGACGGACGAGAAGCUUGCUUUUCUGAUGUUAGCGGCGGACGGGUGAGUAACACGUGGAUAACCUACCUAUAAGACUGGGAUAACUUCGGGAAACCGGAUCUAAUACCAGAUAAUAUUUUGAACCGCAUGGUUCAUAAGUGAAAGACGGUCUUUCUGUCACUUAUAGCUGGAUCCGCGCUGCAUUAGCUAGUUGGUAAGGUAACGGCUUACCAAGGCAACGAUGCAUAGCCGACCUGAGAGGGGGGUCGGCCACACUGGAAGUGAGACAGGGUCCAGACUCCUGCGGGAGGCAGCAGUAGGGAAUCUUCCGCAAUGGGCGAGAGCCUGACGGAGCAACGCCGCGUGAGUGAUGAAGGUCUUCGGAUCGUAAAACUCUGUUAUUAGGGGAGAACAUAUGUGUAAGUAACUGUGCACAUCUUGACGGUACCUAAUCAGAAAGCCACGGCUAACUACGUG